rnacentral:lncRNA from 1 species
UUAAAAGCUCAGGCCAUUUUCCUUCUUACAACAGGAGCGAUCCGUUGGGGGAGGGGCCCUUCGCUCAGCCACCUGGCCUAUUUUUUGGAGUUACGAUUUACUUCCCCAAGAAAAGGGGUCCGAGGGUUUGUUAGUCUCCAGGACCACUCCUGUCAUCCUUACAGCUAAACGAUCCAGUUUAAAAAUACAACCCCCAGCACCUGUAAGCGUACAGAAGCCACUGUGGGCAAACUAUAUGCUCUACAGUGCACAUCCCACACGCGAGAAUACUGGUUUCAAUUAGGCAAAAUAGGAAAGGAUGGCGGCGAGUACCUAACCGUGCAGAGCGCUCUCGAUCUCCGAGGUUUACUCCAAGGGGCUUCCCAGCGGGAGGUGCAAACUCUCUGGGAGGCUGAAUUGUAUCCAUCAUGCCGUCGCCUGCAGUUUCUCCUCCAACGGCCACCAACUUUCAGAAAGGCCACCAAAUCUCGCUUGUAAUCCUUUUAAGUGUUUCCACCUUUGAGACUUGCAAGGAAAUGGUCGGUGCAUACCAGUGGGAGAGCCGGGCGCGCACCUAGCGCGGCAAUGCCAGUGACAGGAGCUCACGACCACAGUUCUAUUUACCCUCGAUGGCAGGCAGGAAGCCUGUGUAUCCCAGGACUGGGUUCUUUGAUUUAAAUUCUUGGUGCUCUCGAUUCAGCGGCGAGUCUCGCGGUCCCCGAGAACCCUGGCUGAAUCUCAGGGUUUUUCUCUUUCUCGCUUCCUGAAAGGUUGACACUCACAGCGCAAUUCCUGCCCGAGGCCUCUUUCGGUACGAGGAGCCGCACUAUCCCUUGCCUUUGCCGGGUGUCUUUGCUCUUGACCCUUUGGCAGUCAACCAACAGGACUUCCUAUGAAAUCACUGACCACCGUGUGCUCCUCCAGCCUCUUUUAACUCCUGAUUCUAGGAGCCUGAGAACUAAAGAGAACCACAAAGAGCCACAAGCACUCACCCUCAACCCUGAUGAAGCAGUUCACAAAGGAAGUCUCACAUGGAUGAAAGCUAUCUAUAGCUAUCUCUACCCUUUCACCAGAGCCUAAACAGGGCACAUGGUAGACACUCAAUAAACAAGGUAAUUUUCUAUUUCAGCUCUAAGAUAAUACUUAAUUGAGGAGUGGUACCAGAACUCAUUUUUUGGAACAUGGGUGUAAGCAGCAGUCUCCAAGAUGAUGCCUCCAGUGAUCCCCACCUCCUGAUAUUUGUACUCUGUGUAUUUCCCUCCCCUUGAGUGUGGCUGAUUUAUUGACUUGCUUCUAAUGAAUAGGAUAAGGCAAAAGUGAUAGGUUG